GACGAACGCUGGCGGCGUGCCUAAUACAUGCAAGUCGAGCGGAGUUAUGAGGGAGCUUGCUCCUGAUUAACUUAGCGGCGGACGGGUGAGUAACACGUAGGCAACCUGCCCUGUAGUCUGGGAUAACUACCGGAAACGGUAGCUAAUACCGGAUAAUUCCUUUUGCCUCCUGGCGAAAGGAUGAAAGACGGAGCAAUCUGUCACUAUGGGAUGGGCCUGCGGCGCAUUAGCUAGUUGGUGGGGUAACGGCUCACCAAGGCGACGAUGCGUAGCCGACCUGAGAGGGUGAACGGCCACACUGGGACUGAGACACGGCCCAGACUCCUACGGGAGGCAGCAGUAGGGAAUCUUCCGCAAUGGGCGAAAGCCUGACGGAGCAACGCCGCGUGAGUGAUGAAGGUUUUCGGAUCGUAAAGCUCUGUUGCCAGGGAAGAACGUCCGGUAGAGUAACUGCUACCGGAGUGACGGUACCUGAGAAGAAAGCCCCGGCUAACUACGUGCCAGCCGCCGCCGUAAGAC
rnacentral:rRNA from 1 species